rnacentral:lncRNA from 1 species
UUAGCCCCAGGAGGGAGGGGUGACCCCUGAAAUGGGGAAGUUUCUCCCAGGUCCCUGCUCUGCGGGGGCUCCCCCUCCCUCUGAGCCCCCAGUGGGAGAGUCUCAAAGGUCUGUGGGCCUCAUCUCCGGGGCUGUGGGUGGGGAUCUGUGAGCCCACCCUCUUCCCUGUGGGGUGGCUGUUGUGGCCUGAGCCCCUCCCUGUGUGUGUAGGAGGAUGUGCUGGGUGUUGUGGUCUGUCCUCUCCCUGCUGAAUGGAAGCGAGAUGCUGAGGACAUGUCCAGUCAAGGACCAUGAGGGAAACUUGAUAAAGGAAGCCCAGGAGGAAAAGGACUCAACUCGCUGCUGGGCUGAGGUUGGGCAGGGGCCAUGCCUGGGAGCCAGGCACAAGUCAGGGAAGGGAGCAGUCUCUCCACCUGGGGGGGCUUUUCCAGCUUUAAAAGGUAAUGCAGCUGGAGUGACUGAUGGGAUAGAUAUUACGAUGAGGAUGGGCUUCCUACUGUAGUGCGGUGGAAAUGAAUCCAACUAGUAUCCGUGAGGACGUGGGUUUGAUCCCUGGCUUCCUCAGUGGGUUAAGGAUCUGGCAUUGCUGUGAGCUGUGGUGUAGGUUGCAGAGGUGGCUCGGAUCCUGUGUUGCUGUGGCUGUGGCCAGCAGCUGUAGCUCUGAUUUGACCCCUAGCCUGGGGUUGCUCCGGGUGCAGCCUUAAAAAGCCAAAAAAAAAAAAAAAAAGCUACGAUGAAGAGACCCCAGGAGAGCGGGACACUGAGACUCCCCAGGACGACAGUUGGCUGCCCCAGGAAGGAGGGCAGGUCCCCCAGCCUGCAGCUCACACACAGUGGGGUCCCUGGUCCUGCUGGGAGGCCAGCUGAGGCUUCUCGGGUCAGCAGCCUGUGCAGGUCUGAGCUGUGGCUGGGGGUGCCAGCUGCCUUGUGAUGCACUGAGGGCUGGCUUGAUGUCGGAGGCUGCUGAGAUGCAGCCACAGGCCUUAGUUCCUCUGCCUGCGGUGAUUCGAGGGAGCUGAGAGGCUGCCCUGGUCAGACCUGGCCUUCCUCCCCCUCACGUGGCUUCUCAAGGUCUGAAGUCAUCUUGUGUGGGACAGUCACUGCACCGAGAGGGACAUGGAUCCAGAAAGAUCAUGGUUAGAAAGGGCAGAGGGCACCUGGUGCUAGGCCAGACUCUGCCAUGGACAGACUUUCCACACUUGGGAGCUUCUCAGUUAACCUUUCUGGAGCCUCAGUUUUCUCAUCUGUAAAGUGGGAAGGUAAUCAAAAACAGUUACUGAUCUGCUUCUCACAGAUUAAAGUGCUUUUGUACUAGAAGUUGCUAGACAAGUGGGUGCCUCUGAGGGGAGGAGCCCAGAGGAAAUGUCUCUCCUGUAGCUUCAGCAGGAGCUGGUGAGCUAGUGCCUCGUUUAACCAAAGGCCAGUCUUCUCCCAUCCUUAACACUUUAGAAUUUAGCCCAGGGCUUGGCUCCUCUCUUAUUGCCACGGGCACAGGGGCCCAU